rnacentral:rRNA from 1 species
CCUACGGGAUGCAGCAGUGAGGAAUAUUGGUCAAUGGACGCAAGUCUGAACCAGCCAUGCCGCGUGCAGGAAGACGGCUCUAUGAGUUGUAAACUGCUUUUGUACGAGGGUAAACGCAGAUACGCGUAUCUGUCUGAAAGUAUCGUACGAAUAAGGAUCGGCUAACUCCGUGCCAGCAGCCGCGGUAAUACGGAGGAUUCAAGCGUUAUCCGGAUUUAUUGGGUUUAACGGGUGCGUAGGCGGUCGGAUAAGUUAGAGGUGAAAUCCCGAGGCUCAACUUCGGAAUUGCCUCUGAUACUGUUCGGCGAGAGAGUAGUUGCGGUAGGCGGAAUGUAUGGUGUAGCGGUGAAAUGCUUAGAGAUCAUACAGAACACCGAUUGCGAAGGCAGCUUACCAAGCUACUUCUGACGUUGAGGCACGAAAGCGUGGGGAGCAAACAGGAUUAGAUACCCGGGUAGUC